AGAGUUUGAUUCUGGCUCAGAACGAACGCUGGCGGCGUGGAUAAGACAUGCAAGUCGAACGAGAGAAUUGCUAGCUUGCUAAUAAUUCUCUAGUGGCGCACGGGUGAGUAACACGUGAGUAACCUGCCCCCGAGAGCGGGAUAGCCCUGGGAAACUGGGAUUAAUACCGCAUAGUAUCGAAAGAUUAAAGCAGCAAUGCGCUUGGGGAUGGGCUCGCGGCCUAUUAGUUAGUUGGUGAGGUAACGGCUCACCAAGGCGAUGACGGGUAGCCGGUCUGAGAGGAUGUCCGGCCACACUGGAACUGAGACACGGUCCAGACACCUACGGGUGGCAGCAGUCGAGAAUCAUUCACAAUGGGGGAAACCCUGAUGGUGUGACGCCGCGUGGGGGAAUGAAGGUCUUCGGAUUGUAAACCCCUGUCAUGUGGGAGCAAAUUAAAAAGAUAGUACCACAAGAGGAAGAGACGGCUAACUCUGUGCCAGCAGCCGCGGUAAUACAGAGGUCUCAAGCGUUGUUCGGAAUCACUGGGCGUAAAGCGUGCGUAGGCUGUUUCGUAAGUCGUGUGUGAAAGGCGCGGGCUCAACCCGCGGACGGCACAUGAUACUGCGAGACUAGAGUAAUGGAGGGGGAACCGGAAUUCUCGGUGUAGCAGUGAAAUGCGUAGAUAUCGAGAGGAACACUCGUGGCGAAGGCGGGUUCCUGGACAUUAACUGACGCUGAGGCACGAAGGCCAGGGGAGCGAAAGGGAUUAGAUACCCCUGUAGUCCUGGCAGUAAACGGUGCACGCUUGGUGUGCGGGGAAUCGACCCCCUGCGUGCCGGAGCUAACGCGUUAAGCGUGCCGCCUGGGGAGUACGGUCGCAAGAUUAAAACUCAAAGAAAUUGACGGGGACCCGCACAAGCGGUGGAGUAUGUGGCUUAAUUCGAUGCAACGCGAAGAACCUUACCUGGGCUUGACAUGUAAUGAACAACAUGUGAAAGCAUGCGACUCUUCGGAGGCGUUACACAGGUGCUGCAUGGCCGUCGUCAGCUCGUGUCGUGAGAUGUUUGGUUAAGUCCCGCAACGAGCGCAACCCCUGUUGCCAGUUACCAGCACGUGAAGG
rnacentral:rRNA from 1 species